AGAGUUUGAUCAUGGCUCAGAACGAACGCUGGCGGCAUGCCUAACACAUGCAAGUCGAACGUGAUCCGGAGCUUGCUCCGGUGAAAGUGGCGCACGGGUGAGUAACGCGUGGGAACCUGCCCAAAGGUAAGGAAUAACCGCGGGAAACUGCGGCUAAUACCUUAUGCUCCCUUCGGGGGAAAGAUUUAUCGCCUUUGGAUGGGCCCGCGUCGGAUUAGCUAGUUGGUGAGGUAACGGCUCACCAAGGCAACGAUCCGUAGCUGGUCUGAGAGGAUGAUCAGCCACACUGGGACUGAGACACGGCCCAGACUCCUACGGGAGGCAGCAGUGGGGAAUAUUGGACAAUGGGCGCAAGCCUGAUCCAGCAAUGCCGCGUGAGUGAUGAAGGCCUUAGGGUUGUAAAGCUCUUUCGGCGGGGACGAUAAUGACGGUACCCGCAGAAGAGCCC
rnacentral:rRNA from 1 species